UGGGGAAUAUUGCGCAAUGGGGGGAACCCUGACGCAGCCAUGCCGCGUGAAUGAAGAAGGCCUUCGGGUUGUAAAGUUCUUUCGGUAUUGAGGAAGGCUGAUGUGUUAAUAGCACAUCAAAUUGACGUUAAAUACAGAAGAAGCACCGGCUAACUCCGUGCCAGCAGCCGCGGUAAUACGGAGGGUGCGAGCGUUAAUCGGAAUAACUGGGCGUAAAGGGCACGCAGGCGGUUAUUUAAGUGAGGUGUGAAAGCCCUGGGCUUAACCUAGGAAUUGCAUUUCAGACUGGGUAACUAGAGUACUUUAGGGAGGGGUAGAAUUCCACGUGUAGCGGUGAAAUGCGUAGAGAUGUGGAGGAAUACCGAAGGCGAAGGCAGCCCCUUGGGAAUGUACUGACGCUCAUGUGCGAAAGCGUGGGGAGCAAACAGGAUUAGAUACCCUGGUAGUCCACGCUGUAAACGCUGUCGAUUUGGGGGUUGGGGUUUAACUCUGGCGCCCGUAGCUAACGUGAUAAAUCGACCGCCUGGGGAGUACGGCCGCAAGGUUA
rnacentral:rRNA from 1 species